GACGAACGCUGGCGGCGUGCUUAACACAUGCAAGUCGAACGGAAAGGCCCUGCUUUUGUGGGGUGCUCGAGUGGCGAACGGGUGAGUAACACGUGAGUAACCUGCCCUUGACUUUGGGAUAACUUCAGGAAACUGGGGCUAAUACCGGAUAGGAGCUCCUGCUGCAUGGUGGGGGUUGGAAAGUUUCGGCGGUUGGGGAUGGACUCGCGGCUUAUCAGCUUGUAGGUGGGGUAGUGGCUUACCAAGGCUUUGACGGGUAGCCGGCCUGAGAGGGUGACCGGCCACAUUGGGACUGAGAUACGGCCCAGACUCCUACGGGAGGCAGCAGUGGGGAAUAUUGCACAAUGGGCGGAAGCCUGAUGCAGCAACGCCGUGUGCGGGAUGACGGCCUUCGGGUUGUAAACCGCUUUCGCCUGUGACGAAGCGUGAGUGACGGUAAUGGGUAAAGAAGCACCGGCUAACUACGUG
rnacentral:rRNA from 1 species